rnacentral:rRNA from 1 species
UACAGAGGGGGCAAGCGUUAUUCGGAAUUAUUGGGCGUAAAGGGCGCGUAGGCGGCUUGGCAAGUGGAUGGUGAAAUCCCUCGGCUUAACCGAGGAACUGCCGUCCAAACUGCUUAGCUUGAGACCGGGAGAGGUGAGUGGAAUUCCCAGUGUAGCGGUGAAAUGCGUAGAUAUCAGGAGGAACACCGGUGGUGUAGACGGCUUUCUGGACCGUAACUGACGCUGAGACACGAAAGCGUGGGUAGCAAACAGG